AUUGUCGAAACCAUCUGACGAAUGAUCAAUGAAUGGUUAUCUAUCGAUAACCCGUUUCUAUCUGAGGCAGCGUAACCACUUUGGCAACAUGGCUGCGCACCUCAGAUAAUCUCAAAUAGAUCCACUACUGUCCCCUGGAAAAACCAUCAUAUUCUCGGCUCCGUAGGAAGGCGUUGGUGAACUUCGUGCAUCCAGGGAGGCUCUGCUGGCCGAGCUGAAGCUACUGGAGCUCAAAUCUUCGUAACUCGCUACAGAUUGGCUACCUCCUGCAACACAGAAGACCUUUAUUUGUCCUUGGGUGACAGGGAACCUCAACCCGUUCGCUUCUUGCUGCAGUAAGUGAUUGCAGCCUCAACUAGCAAAGCAGCAAACCGUCACAGAAAGGGUACUGGGAUAGGAAAUGUAUAUUGACCAUAUUGCAAUUGACACUAGCGGAGUUCUAACUCUAUAUUGAAAUACAUCAUUUAUUAUUCACAGUGAAGAAAUAAUUUUGAAACUUUAUUGCUUUACUGAAAGGAGUGAAACUGAAUCUUGCGUUUGUUAGUCCCUUGCUAACUUGUAGAUCGAAUAAGGUUUUAUAGUUAUACAUCCAAACAAUUACAUAGUACAGAUCCGCAUGGGUAGUUACUAUCAAAUGUAUUCGCGGGCUUGGUAUGGGAUCUUCGUAA